rnacentral:rRNA from 1 species
ACGGGGCGCAGCAGGCGCGAAAUCUUGACAAUACACGAAAGUGUGAUCAGGUUACCCGGAGUGCUACAAUGUAGCUGUGGCAAGUGAGUUAGAUUCCUUGCUAGGAAGGAGAGGGCAAGGCUGGUGCCAGCCGCCGCGGUAAAACCAGCUCUUCAAGUGGUCGGGAUUAUUAUUGGGCUUAAAGUGUCCGUAGCCGGUAUAGUAAGUUCCUGGUUAAAUCGGAUAGCUUAACUAUCUGUUGGCUAGGAAUACUGCUAUACUAGGGGGCGGGAGAGGUCUGAGGUACUCCAGGGGUAGGGGG